rnacentral:rRNA from 1 species
AUACGGAGGAUGCGAGCGUUAUCCGGAUUCAUUGGGUUUAAAGGGGGCGUUGGCGGAAGGAUAAGUCAGGGGUGAAAGUUUGCCGCUCGACGGUAAAAUUGCCUUUGAUACUGUUUUGCUUGAGUGAACGCGAGGUAUGCGGAAUGAGUAGUGUAGCGGUGAAAUGCUUAGAUAUUACUCAGAACACCGAUUGCGAAGGCAGCAUACUAGAGUUUAACUGACGCUGAUGCACGAAAGCGUGGGUAGCGAACAGGAUUAGAAACCCCAGUAGUCC